AAUAUCAAGACGAACCUCGAUGAAGCAGUGACGAGUGGAAGUUAAGACACCUACUGACUAAACAACCCGAACAAGUAUGAAGGUGAACUAACGGGAAAACUAUGUUAAUAUCCAGCUAAGCACGGUAAAGAAAACAAAAUAACACCCACAAUGAAACACUAGAAACAACAAGUAGUAACAAGUAGCAAGCAGGUAAUAAUGUUGCAGAGUAAGUUGAACAUAGUCUAAGUCCGAUGAAACCAAAUAAAGCAAAAACAAGUAACAACUCAGUAAGAACAACCGCUU
rnacentral:lncRNA from 1 species